rnacentral:misc_RNA from 1 species
AUUUUGAAUUUAAUUUUCAAUUAAUAUUUCCUGUUGAAAAAACUAGAGAAAAAAAAUCAAAGAACGAACAUUUCUACGCGUAUUACGGAAAUUUGUUGAUGUAAGAUAAAGUCCGCGCAACUUCAGGUCAUAUUUCGAAUAUGUCUCCACUAAUUACAGAGGUAAAUAUCGAGUAGGAAGAAACAUGGCCGAUUCUCCACCGCGCAGACAUUCGUCGGGCUCGGGUUCUGGGAGAAGAGGAUCAAUUUACCGAUCCAGCCAAGUGUUCAAUCGCCUAGAUAGCAGAAACUAUGCAUUACCUCUAGGCGUUCCCGAGAAGUCAACUCAGAUUGAACAACAAGAAGAACUCGUUAAAAAUUUGAACACCUACUAUAUACAGUUGAAGAAACAGAUUCUUCAGUACCAGAGCCCCACUUUAGGGUUGUUCCCGGACAUUGGAAAAGAAGAUAAUCCAACCCAUAUAGCUCACAUCCGGGCCAGCAUCUAUUGCGCUGUGGCUGUGUGGGCAUUAUCGCAGGCAUACAGGAAAGUUGAUGAUGAUCAGGGAAGGACUCAUGAGCUGGCUCAGAGCGCGGUGAAAUGCAUGCGUGGAAUUCUCUUCUGUUGGAUUCGACAGGCAGACAAGGUUGAGGACUUUAAGGCCAAUCAGAGAGCAGAGUUUGCCCUUCACUCGGCCUUCCACAUGGUGACAGGUGAUCCUGUGUACAGGGACGAUGAGUAUGGUCAUCUACAGAUUAAUGUGAUUGGACUGUACUUGAUAUUCCUGGUCCAGAUGAUCACCUCAGGACUACAGAUUAUAUUUACUACGGAUGAAGUAAACUUUGUACAGAAUUUGGUGUUUUAUGUUGAGAGGGCAUACAGAACCCCUGAUUACGGCACUUGGGAAAGAGGAAGCAAGUACAACAAUGGCUCAACAGAAAUCCAUGCAAGCUCCAUCGGUCUGGCCAAGUCAUCGCUGGAGUCCAUCAAUGGAGUCAAUUUGUUUGGUGAACAAGGAACGUCUUCCUCGGUCAUUUAUGUUGAUAUAGAUGCACACAACAGGAACUUUCAUGCUAGGACAGUCCGUCUAUUUCAUUUCACAGCUUCUCGUCAAUGGCCUGCUGAAUGUCAAUGACCUUGACCCCAUUAGGAGACACCUGCCUGCAUCAGAGAGGCCAAAGGUCAACAUGAGAUACUCAUCUUUCCAGAUCACACCACCUGACCUGGUGAUCCAGGUGAUCCUGAUUGCUGAGAGUGCCCGGCUACAGCAGCUCCUAGCGACCUACGGAAUCCAGACGCAGACCCCGCACCAGAUUGAGCCCAUCCAGAUCUGGUCGCCCAAGGAGUUGUCAAAGGCCUACGAGUACCUUGGGGUCAACAGGAAACUGGGGCUCACAGGGCGACCCAAACGCCCCUUUGGUGUCCUCAGUACUUCCAAGAUCUACCGUGUGUGUGGCUCCACAGUACUGUGCUACCCCCUGGUGUUUGAGGUCAGUGAUUUCUACCUGGCGCAGGAUGUUCCCAUCAUGCUGGACGAUCUGAAGAAUGAUCUGGCGUUUUUGUCUAAGUGCUGGAAGUUGUCAGGGAGGCCCACUUUCUGCAUGAUCAUAAGAGAAAACAAUGUCAGGGGACCUAACUUUGAGGAGUUUUUAAACCUGCUUGCUCAGUUUAAACGUGGGGAUGUCGAUGGAAUCAGGGUUAGACUAGGAAAGCUGCAGUCCCUCAUCACCUCUGGCUGUGUGGAACAUUUGGAUUUCCUGGACAAGAUUGGAGAUCCUUCGGACAUCUUUGUUCCUUUUGAGGAGAAAACUGUGGGUGCAAGUUUUAAGAGUCUGACUGAGAUCCCCAAGCUUCCAGAGCUGAAUGAUGCCACCCUGAGAUACAAUGAACAGGAUUUAAUGCGUAAAGCUAACUGGGACCUGAUUCACAUGUUGAAAUUGACUGAUGGCAUCUACUCCCAGAGCCAGAUCCUCAGGGUCCUCUUCCAGCGCGAGGGCGCCAACUUCUGGAUCGAGGGGGAGUCCAUUGUCCAGAAGAUGGAACACCUGAUUCACCUUGCUGGACUUUACAAGGAGUGGUCCGUAGUGCGGCUCCAGUCAGCUCUCCUACACAAGACUGUAGACAGCCUGGCUCCCUCUGUCACCACCAUAUUGGUCAGGGGCAAACAGGUAACAGUGGGGGUGUACGGCCAUGAAGAGGAAGUUUUGGACAAGCCUGUUAGCCCCGGAUUCCUACAGGAUCUGAUAUUUAAGAUUUGUUUACCGUACAACAUACAAGAGGCCGUUCUGCAGCAGGAACUUAUACUUGGAAUUGGAAAGCUGAUUGCCACAUCCCCCGACCUGUUUGAUGGAAUUCUCAAAAUAAGAAUUGGCUGGUUUGUGCGUGCCAUGAGAUUUGAACUGGAGCAGGACGAUGAAGGAAUUGAACUCCAUGACCUUUCCCCUAACGAUGUGAAGGGCAUGUUGAUCGCUGUUCUAGUGCGGAAUGUCUACGAAGCAGACUUAAGGACUCCGCUACAGAAACGGCAACUAGACGGGGCCCUCAAUAGGGUCCCCAAGGAUUUCUACGACAGGGUGUGGUCCAUCCUGGAGAAAACUCCAUACGGAAUAAAAGUGGCUGGCUACCUCCUACCUCAGCAACCCACACUGUCAGACAUGACUAUGUAUGAGCUCAACUUUUCGCUGCUGGUGGAGCAGAUGUUGAGUAAGAUUGUGGACCCAGCUUACAGACAGAUUAUGGUGGAGACAUUUAUGGUGGUCUCCACAAUGUUAGAGAGGAAUCCAGAAGCUUCGUUUGAUCAGGCCGUCAACAUGGACAAGAUAAUCAUGGAUGCUUUUGAGGAGUUUCAGCGUGACCUUAGUAAAAGUGAAGGUCAUGAGAAGCAGGAUGAGAUGACCAAGUUCUAUAGCACGCCGCCAAACGUCAAACAUGGUACAUCUCGGUAUCUGACCAAAGCUGUCAUCAACAACUUAUUGGAAGGGGAGAUGAAAUUUGUGUCUGACGAUAUGUGUAGUGUUUCCUGAUCGUAGUACAUGCUUACAUUGUCUGUGUGUCCGACGGUAUAACGUUAUGUGAAGUGUUUCAUAAAUGGCCACAGAUUCUUACAUCGUCUCUAUGUCUGCCUGAUGCUGGGUCAUGGAUAGAAGAAACUUAAUUUGAAGUGCAUUGGAAUUUUCAAAACUGUUUUGAUAGACAUUUGUGGAUUGUUUAUUGUUUAAGAUGUGCUUCAUGAGUUACAGUGGAUUGAAUUAAUUAAUGCGGGGACAGAAAUCCACUUACUUUUUUUUUAAUGCUUAGCAGGUGCUUGUUAUGUUUUGUAAUAUGACGCUUUUAACUGUAAUAAGCAUUAAUUUAAUAUAAAAAGGAGUUUCGUUACUGUUAAUACCAAAUACAUGAAUAACAAUUUU